UCUUCUUUCAGUUUUUCAUCGUCUGCUAAACUUGUCUUGUGAAAAACACUAUACACUCAUCACUAGCCAACAAUCAACAUGAACCGUCUGUCAAUUGUUAUGGUUAUUGCAUUUGUCAGUUACUCACUGGGUGCACCGGAAAACAUUGAAUCGCACAGUGCAGACAUAAAUCAUGACUUAGAGCACAGCAGUGACCAUGAACUUGAGAAUCAAUUGUUUUGGUUAUUGCAUGUGUCAGUUACUCACUGGGUGCACCGGAAAACUUUGAAUCACACAGUGCAGACAUAAAUCAUGACUUAGAGCACAGCAGUGACCAUGAACUUGAGAAUUUCUUAUAUGGAUAUAAAGACGGAAAUGUAAACAGUGAUCAAUCUACAUCAGAAAAUCCAAUUGAUGAAGAUAGAGGAUGUGUGAUGGCUAUACGAUGAAGUAAUGUGUCGUAAAUAUUGUAAAAAAGCUUGUGUUUCGGGAUCGGAAACAAGUGAAUGUUUGAAAUGUAUGACUAAAUGUCUACGUUAAAAUAAUUUAAUUUGAUAUAGUUAAAUUGUAAAAUGUAUGUAGAUUUAGGGUUUUAAAUAUACAAUUUUUGUGAAUUUAUUUGUAUACGAUGAAUGCAAUUAUGUAGUCAAUUAAUUUAAUUUUAAGCAAUUUGACUGUAGAAAUCAUGAUAAUUUGUA